rnacentral:rRNA from 1 species
GAUGAACGCUGGCGGCGUGCCUAAUACAUGCAAGUCGAGCGAACGGACGAGAAGCUUGCUUUUCUGAUGUUAGCGGCGGACGGGUGAGUAACACGUGGAUAACCUACCUAUAAGACUGGGAUAACUUCGGGAAACCGGAGCUAAUACCGGAUAAUAUUUUGAACCGCAUGGUUCAAAAGUGAAAGACGGUCUUGCUGUCACUUAUAGAUGGAUCCGCGCUGCAUUAGCUAGUUGGUAAGGUAACGGCUUACCAAGGCAACGAUGCAUAGCCGACCUGAGAGGGUGAUCCGACACACUGGAACUGAGACACGGCCCAGACUCCUACGGGAGGACGCAGUAGGGAAUCUUCCGCGAUGGGCGAGAGCCUGACGGAGCAACGCCGCGUGAGUGAUGAAGGUCUUCUGAUCGUAAAACUCUGUUAUUAGGGAAGAACAUAUGUGUAAGUAACUGUGCACAUCUUGACGGUACCUAAUCAGAAAGCCACGGCUAACUACGUG